CGCAGCCGCGGUAAUUCCAGCUCCAAUAGCGUAUAUUAAAGUUGUUGCAGUUAAAAAGCUCGUAGUUGAAUUUCGGGAUCGACGGGUCGGUCGCGCCUCUGGUGUGUACUGGCCCUGUCGGUUUCUCCCUUCUGACGAACCACGAUGUCAUUAAUUUGGUGUCGUGGGAAAUCAGGACUGUUACUUUGAAAAAAUUAGAGUGUUUAAAGCAGGCAUUCGCUUGAAUACAUUAGCAUGGAAUAAUGAAAUAGGACGUUUGAUCUUAUUUUGUUGGUUUCUAAGAUCGACGUAAUGAUUAAUAGGGAUAGUUGGGGGCAUUAGUAUUCAAUUGUCAGAGGUGAAAUUCUUGGAUUUAUUGAAGACUAACUACUGCGAAAGCAUUUGCCAAGGAUGUUUUCAUUAAUCAAGAACGAAAGUUAGGGGAUCGAAGACGAUCAGAUACCGUCGUAGUCUUAACCAUAAACUAUGCCGACUAGGGAUCGGAUGAUGUUAAUUUUUAAUGACUCAUUC
rnacentral:rRNA from 1 species